GUGGGGAAUUUUGGACAAUGGGCGAAAGCCUGAUCCAGCCAUGCCGCGUGCAGGAUGAAGGCCUUCGGGUUGUAAACUGCUUUUGUACGGAACGAAAAGACUCCUUCUAAUAAAGGGGGUCCAUGACGGUACCGUAAGAAUAAGCACCGGCUAACUACGUGCCAGCAGCCGCGGUAAUACGUAGGGUGCAAGCGUUAAUCGGAAUUACUGGGCGUAAAGCGUUCGUAGGCGGUUAUAUAAGACAGAUGUGAAAUCCCCGGGCUCAACCUGGGAACUGCAUUUGUGACUGUAUAGCUAGAGUACGGUAGAGGGGGAUGGAAUUCCGCGUGUAGCAGUGAAAUGCGUAGAUAUGCGGAGGAACACCGAUGGCGAAGGCAAUCCCCUGGACCUGUACUGACGCUCAUGCACGAAAGCGUGGGGAGCAAACAGGAUUAGAUACCCGUGUAGUCC
rnacentral:rRNA from 1 species